AGUGAACGCUGGCGGUAGGCCUAACACAUGCAAGUCGAACGGCAGCACAGUAAGAGCUUGCUCUUACGGGUGGCGAGUGGCGGACGGGUGAGGAAUACAUCGGAAUCUACUUUUUCGGGGGGGAUAACGUAGGGAAACUUACGCUAAUACCGCAUACGACCUACGGGUGAAAGCAGGGGAUAUUCGGGCCUUGCGCGAUUGAAUGAGCCGAUGUCGGAUUAGCUAGUGGGCGGGGUAAAGGCCCACCAAGGCGACGAUCCGUAGCUGGUCUGAGAGGAUGAUCAGCCACACUGGAACUGAGACACGGUCCAGACUCCUACGGGAGGCAGCAGUGGGGAAUAUUCGACAAUGGGCGCAAGCCUGAUCCAGCCAUACCGCGUGGGUGAAGAAGGCCUUCGGGUUGUAAAGCCCUUUUGUUGGGAAAGAAAAGCAGCAGGUUAAUACCCCGCUGUUCUGACGGUACCCAAAGAAUAAGCACCGGCUAACUUCGUG
rnacentral:rRNA from 1 species